rnacentral:rRNA from 1 species
CCUCCUACGGGAGGCAGCAGUGGGGAAUAUUGCACAAUAGGCGAAAGCCUGAUGCAGCGACGCCGCGUGAGGGAUGACGGCCUUCGGGUUGUUAACCUCUCUCAGCAGGGACGAAGCGAAAGUGACGGUACCUGCAGAAGAAGCACCGGCCAACUACCGGCCAGCAGCCGCCGUAAUAC